CGUACACUCCUGCGGGAGGCAGCAGUGGGGAAUAUUGGACAAUGGGCGCAAGCCUGAUCCAGCCAUGCCGCGUGAGUGAUGAAGGCCCUAGGGUUGUAAAGCUCUUUCACCGGAGAAGAUAAUGACGGUAUCCGGAGAAGAAGCCCCGGCUAACUUCGUGCCAGCAGCCGCGGUAAUACGAAGGGGGCUAGCGUUGUUCGGAAUUACUGGGCGUAAAGCGCACGUAGGCGGAUCGAUCAGUCAGGGGUGAAAUCCCAGGGCUCAACCCUGGAACUGCCUUUGAUACUGUCGAUCUGGAGUAUGGAAGAGGUGAGUGGAAUUCCGAGUGGAGAGGUGAAAUUCGUAGAUAUUCGGAGGAACACCAGUGGCGAAGGCGGCUCACUGGUCCAUUACUGACGCUGAGGUGCGAAAGCGUGGGGAGCAAACAGGAUUAGAAACCCGUGUAGUCCC
rnacentral:rRNA from 1 species